UGGUGGCAGCUCAGGUAAUUCAGGCUUGGGAAGCUCAGGCAAUGUUACCUGAGCUGCCACCACUUCCUAAGUUUGAGCUUCCAUCAUUACCUGAACUUCCAACCUUGCCUAAACCUGAAAUUCCCACUCUUCCAAAACCUGAAUUGCCUGAGUUGCCCAAGCCUGAAGUGCCCAAAUUGCCUGAAUUACCAAAACCUGAACUGCCAACUUUUCCCCACUUGCCUGAGUUGCCAAAGCCCACAUUCCCUGCUAUUCCCACAAUUCCCAAGGACACCAAACCUCUUCAGUCAGCUACUAGUCCUUAAACAAUUAUCCCAUGCAUCUUUCAAUGUUUGAUUUCACGAUGAUGACUUCAUCUAGUUGUUGGCAUUUCCCAGCAUCAUUUAUUUCUUUAUGAGUGUCUGGUAUAUAUGUAUAUAUGUGUGUGUGUUUAUAUGCCUAAAUUGUAGUGAGAUAUAUAUGUGUGUAUGUGUGUCUGUGUGUAUAUGCCUAAAUUGUAGCGAGCGUUGGUUCUGUUCUAGGCUUGUAUUUUCUGUGCUUGUUGUUUCGGCUAUACAAGAUAUAUUGUGUUCCGAG
rnacentral:misc_RNA from 1 species